AGAGUUGUACACUCAAAGCAAAUCUGUGUGGGGAUGAAGAGUCAGGAUCCAAUGGCCAUCUGUUUUACCAACAGGAGAAAAGGAGCUCCCACACUGGCAAAACUUCAAAGGUUUGAGUGACAUCAGCAUCAUGGCGGAGUGAGCUGUUGCCUGAUAUUCUCCUGUCUGGUAUACAAAAGAGGAUAUUUAGAUACUAACAGAGGACAUUCACACAGCACAAAAGAUGUCUCAGAGAUGAAAGCAGCCACAUGUCUGAAGGUGGAGGUACUGGAUCCCUUGGAGGAAAGGGAAGGAGGUUUUAUAUUCCUAACUACUUUGGAGCCAGCAGAUAUGGAUUCAGAAGUGACACGGGAAUAAAAAAUCUCACAACCUAGUGGAGUUAUUGUCAUAAAUGGCAACAAGACAGAUGCUUUAAUGAAGGGUAGAAUUGGAUUAUUUCAAUAAAUUGAGGAUUCCUAGUCUCAUUUGCGGCACCAUGAGUGGAAAUGGACUCUUUGGAGAGAUCUUCUGUUACCUGGCAAAACACUUGUGCGGAAGCAGUUCCUGGUACGUCCCUGGAUUUCUAGGUAGGAUGAUGAUGGGAAACCUGCACAGGGCCUGGGCCCCCAAGGAGGGAAGAAAACAAAAUCUGUGUGUGAAGAUGGGAAAGCCAGUGAGACAGUUGUGGAAAUGUCCAGGGGACAGGAUCACUAACAUCAAGACUCAGCUGGAGCAAGUCCUUUAUCUUAAUGAGCCCUGGAAGAGGAUUUAGCUGUUCCUAUCUGGAUCUAGGAGCUACAGUGUUAACCAUCCAAGAACCGAAUGGAUACACAGCUUGGCCUUUACUUCUGGAUCCCAGAAGCUUUUUGUUUAGGUUUAUUGUUUUGAAUAAUAAUCCUGGAUCUUGUCACUGAAAUUUUAGAUUGUGAAGAUAUUUUAGAGAUUAACACAGAAGUAUAGAGAUUGUGUGAUGGAAUCCAAUAGGCCCAGUUUUAUUUCUGGUUCCAGUUCUGACUCCUUGGGCUAGUUAGUUAAUCUCUCUGAGCCUCAGUUUCCCCAGUUUCUACCUCACAGUGCUGUUGGGGAGAUCAAUGAAAUAAUGCAUGUUAGGAGCCAGUAUCUGGUGAAUAAAACCUAGUGGAUAUUAACAUUAUCAUCUUCAUUAUCAUUAUUGCCUGUUAAAAGUUUCAUUUUCAGCGAUUCAACUGAAGCAGCCAAGUCCUCCUGAUUCCAAACAGCCUAGAGAAGUGAGAGGACAUUGUUCCCAGAAGGAGGGAGAACAUCUUCGGGUCAAGAUGACAUUUCAAAUUUAGUUCUUGAUUCAUCUCAUGUUGGGACGAGUCGCUGGGCCAUUGCUAAUGUUUCCUUUCUGGCCUUUGCCCCGGCCCUCACAGGGAACUGGUCUAACGUUUAGAAGAGACUCAGGGUGGAAGGUUUGGUUGUGAUCCAGAAACACACAGCUCCUUAAAGCCAAGUUCCCAAGACAUUGCUCAGAGACAAAGUUUCACCAAGAGUAUCACCCAAACACCACAAGACAUCUGCUGGCUGAAAGUCCAUCCACUGUCUAAAGAGAAACAGGAAAAACAUCUGAAUUCUCUUGCGUUGGUACUAGCAACAACAAGAAGAAUUGCUAGUUGUCAAGCACUAACCUGUGGAAAUAAAAACCAUUCAAAUGAGAACAAGCAAAGGCUAUUUUCUCAGAGUUUGCUAUAGCAAGGGAGUCGGCCCCCAUCAUUUGCAGUUUGGCAGAGAUCCAGGCAGGCGGAGGACUGUAAAGCUUUAUAGUGGAGAGAAGGGAAGGAUCUGGAUGCCCCCUGAGUGGAGGCUGUGGCAUGGGGAAGCUGUAGGCGGGCUAACUAGAGGUGGACGUCCUAUGUGAUUGGUUAGGGGAGCACGUUUGGCUGUCACUGGUUGGUCCUAUGUUAGAAGCGGGACAAAAAUUAGGGAAGCUGCCAGUUAUUAAUUAAUCCCUGGCCAUUUGGGGCUGAUUGCUGCAGGGGUUAUUGUUUGGCUUUCUGGGCUGGUUGCUGGAGACAGUGGUCUGACUUCCUCCAAGUCUGAUUUGGAGAUAGCAGGCUGGCCUCCUGGGCUAGUCUGUAGAUAAUGGGUUGGUUUCCUGGGCUGGUUGCUGCAGACUGUGGGUCAGAGUUCUGUUUUAAUAUGUGAUCUGGCCAUUGUCCAUUUGUAUAUUCAGGCUCUUACGCUGUAUAUGUGGUACUGUGUUCACUGCUUUACACACGUCAACUUAUUGAAUACUUCCUUCUAUACAAACAGCACACUCUCCACAAUGUUCUGCACUGCUUGUUCUCCUGCACAGUGCACGCUGAAGAUCUUUCCGUAUCAAACAUAUAUUUUAAGUGCUAUAUUUUUAAAAUAGUGGCAUAAUAUUUCAUUGGAUAGAUGUACCAUUAUUUGUUUAACCACCCCCCAAACCCAACCUUGUUGCUAUUACAAAUUAGGGUGCAACACCUAUCCUUGUGGUGAUGACAGCUUGCAUGUACGGCAAUGGAUCUGUGGGAUACAUUCCUGGAAAUGGACUGCUGGGUAAAAGGGAAGUUGCAGGUCCUUCUAGUUUUGGGAUGUGGGACACUGCCUCAACGUGUCCUGACAAGCGUUGCCAUGUCCGAGCCAAGGAUCCAAACCCUGGGCCGCCGCAGUGGAGCGCGUGAACCUAACCGCUCGGCCACGGAGCCAGCCCCAGAAGAUUAUUUUUUAAUGAGUAGUAUGAUGACAUGGGAUUUUCAUCUCAGGUGCUGAGUCUAGCCCCAACCCCUUGUAAGUUGUGACUCUGCCUUUGUGUUUAUCACUACAUAUAGUGGUCAACACACUUGUUCACCAUGGUUCUGUUAGCAGAGAAGAACAGGAAACAUACAACAGUGUGUCUUUUGGGUAAUUACCCUGGAUCCCUCCCCAGCUACAUGGACCCACUGCUCUUCCUCUCUCCCCAAGACUCUUAGAUUUCUGGCUCUUCAGUAACUCGUUUUUGAUCCUUUUAUGUACACCUUCCCACUUUGCUUACAGUCCCAUUUCUGCUCUCAAUGUUGACAUUUUCUGCAGUCUUGGGUUAGAAACUCCUUUCUUAGCUUUAGUCCCAUGAAACUCUCCCUUUGAUCCCCAAGAGAAGAGCUUUCAGACCAAUAAAGGACUCCCUUAAGAGCACAGCAGAGUGCCUGAGAGAUCCAUACAUCUGUACAUCUGAAGGCUGGUGGACUAGGCUUCUGGGAGGCAGUGGAACUAGGAGAGGAGCUCCCUCCCCCCUUCCUGGCAGAGGCAAUCCAAAACGACGAUACCACUGGCAGGGGAAGUGACCGUCUGACCUGCGGUUUCUAAAAGUGCACUAGUACCGGGGACCAGAAGGCUACAGGGACAGCAAUUGUUGUCAUGUUGUGCUAUGUGGGACAUUGCCUCAGCGUGGCCUGAUGAGUGGUGCCAUGUCCAUGCCCAGGGUCCAAACAGCCCACCCCUCCCCUAGCAGUCUCAUGUGACACCUGUGACCUGAGGCUUCAGGAGCCACAGCAGUACCCAUGACGCUGACCCUACUAGCAGUGGGGGCUGCAUAUAAGACCCUAGGCCCCUUCCAGCAGCAGUGACACCCAUGAACCCAGCACAUCUGGCAGUGGUGCUCCCAGCAACCACAGUUAACCCCAGAGCAGCAGCACAGGUGGUAUACGUGGCAGCAGCACCUGAGCCUGUGGAGGGCCAGUGGGGGAGCAGAAGAUCCAGGCUUCCCCAAAAGCAAUAGAAGUGCUCUCAACCUGGUGACCCCAGUGGCAGCACCCACAGCUGCAGCAACAUUAGAGGCAGCAGGUGAUCAGCAACAUCGGAGACACAAGGAGGGCGCUGAUGAUGUCUCUGGCAGAGGCACUGGAGGGUGGAAAGUGCAGGCUCUCAAAUACAAGCAGAAGCAACUCAGAAUCAAAGUAAGAAAAGCCUUACCCCAGUGAGAACGGUGUUUGCCAUCACAAAUGCGCCAGCAGAGGAUCAACUCAUCGAGCGCCGUGAAGAACUACAGUAACGUGGGAGAACAGAAAGCAGGUGACAGCUCUCCAAAAACCAAACUUGAAGCCACAGAAGACUGCAAUCUAACUGACAGAGAAUUCAAAACAGAUGUCAUGAAGAAACUCAGCAAGUUAGAAGAAAACUCCGAAAGACAGUUAAUGAGCUCAGGAAUAAAAGUAACGAACAGACAGAGUACUUCACCAAAGAGAUUGAAACUAAAAAAAAGCCAAACAAAUUCUGGACGUGAAGACCACAAUGGGAUGGAAAAUAAAGGACAAAGCAUUGGAAAUAGAGCACAAAAUGUGGAAGAGAGAAUUAGAGGGGUCAAAGAUAGAAAUUUAGAAAUGAUUUAAGUGGAAGAGGAGAGAGAACUAAGAUUUUUUGAAAAUGAAGAAAUUUUAUGAAAAAUAUCCACCUCUAUUAGGAAAAGCAACAUAAGCAUAAUAGAUAUCCUGGAAGCAGAAGAGAGGGAGAAAGGAGCAGAGAGCUUAUUUAAGAAGUAAUAGCUGAGAACUUCCCCAACCUGCGCAAGGAACUGGAUAUACAAGUACAUGAAGCUAAUAGAACUCCUAAUUAUCUCAACAUAAAAAGACCUUCUCCAAGGCACAUUAUGUUAAAAAUGUCAAAAGUCAAUGACAUUACCAUAGGAGAAGAGGGUGGAGAGAGGGCAAAAGGGCACAUAUGUAUGGUGACAGAUAAAAUCUAUUGGUGGUGAACAUAACAAAGUCUAUACGGGAACUGAUAUACAAUAAUGUACAUCUGAAAUUUACUCAAGUUACAAGCCAAUAUGACUUCAACAAAAAGAAAAGAAUACAUACAACACCAAAAAAUAUCCAAUUUAAAAAUAUGGUCAGGGGCCGGCCCCGUGGCCGAGUGGUUGGGUUCACACACUCUGCUUCAGCGGCCCAGGGUUUCGGCUUCGAAUCCUGGGCGUAGAUAUGCUGCCGCUCAUCGGGCCAUGCUGAGGCAGCAUCCCACAUGCCACAACUAGAAGGACCUACAACUACAAAUACAUGACUGUGUACCAGGGGGCUUUGGGGAGAAAAAGGAAAAAUAAAAUCUUUAAAAAAAUGGUCAGAGGACUUGAGUAGACAUUUCUACAGAAAAGAUAUUCUGCAAAGAACUAUUUCUACAAGUAAACAAGGAACACAGGAGAAGAUGCUCACCAUCAUUAGCCAUGAGGGAAAUGCAAAAUAAAACAACAACGAUGCAUGUCAGCAAGACAGUGAGAUAGGAUGGCCCAGCACUCAUCGCCCACAGAAACCAUAAUUUAACCACCAUUCAUGGGCAAAAAUACCUUUAGGAAAGCUCUAGAAGCCAGGUGUGAGGUCUCAGCAUGCCGGUGGAGCAGAAAAUCUAACAACCACAUUGAGAAGGGCAGAAAGAACAGCUCCACCUGCGUCACCGUUCCCACAGGCUGGCUCAGCUCAGCUCAGAGAGACCCCUCCACCUGCGAUUUCU
ensembl:lncRNA